rnacentral:rRNA from 1 species
AUUGAAAGCUGGCGGCAUGCCUUACACAUGCAAGUCGAACGGUAACGGGCCUUCGGGUGCCGACGAGUGGCGAACGGGUGAGUAAUACAUCGGAACGUACCCGAUCGUGGGGGAUAACGAGGCGAAAGCUUUGCUAAUACCGCAUACGAUCUACGGAUGAAAGCAGGGGACCGCAAGGCCUUGCGCGGACGGAGCGGCCGAUGGCAGAUUAGGUAGUUGGUGGGAUAAAAGCUUACCAAGCCGACGAUCUGUAGCUGGUCUGAGAGGAUGAUCAGCCACACUGGGACUGAGACACGGCCCAGACUCCUACGGGAGGCAGCAGUGGGGAAUUUUGGACAAUGGGCGCAAGCCUGAUCCAGCCAUGCCGCGUGCAGGAUGAAGGCCUUCGGGUUGUAAACUGCUUUUGUACGGAACGAAAAGCCUUCUUUUAAUACAGGAGGGUCAUGACGGUACCGUAAGAAUAAGCACCGGCUAACUACGUG